AUUGAACGCUGGCGGCAGGCCUAACACAUGCAAGUCGAACGAGGGGCGGACGGGUGAGUAAUGUCUGGGAAACUGCCUGAUGGAGGGGGAUAACUACUGGAAACGGUGGCUAAUACCGCAUACCAUUGGCUUUGCCCAGAUUGGAUUAUCUAGUAGGUGGGGUAACGGCUCACCAAGGCGACGAUCCCUAGCUGGUCUGAGAGGAUGACCAGCCACACUGGAACUGAGACACGGUCCAGACUCCUACGGGAGGCAGCAGUGGGGAAUAUUGCACAAUGGGCGCAAGCCUGAUGCAGCCAUGCCGCGUGUAUGAAGAAGGCCUUCGGGUUGUAAAGUACUUUCAGCGGGGAGGCGUUACCCGCAGAAGAAGCACCGGCUAACUCCGUGCCAGCAGCCGCGGUAAUUC
rnacentral:rRNA from 1 species